CUUAAUGGCACCCUUUACCACAGGUUACAUCUCUUAAUGACACCCUUUACUACAGGUUACAUCUCUUAAUGGCACCCUUUACCACAGGUUACAUCUCUUAAUGACACCCUUUACUACAGGUUACAUCUCUUAAUGACACCCUUUACUACAGGUUACAUCUCUUAAUGGCACCCUUUACCACAGGUUACAUCUCUUAAUGACACCCUUUACUACAGGUUACAUCUCUUAAUGGCACCCUUUACCAGGUGACAUCUCAUAAUGACACCCUUUACUACAGGUUACAUCUCUUAAUGGCACCCUUUACCCAGGUUACAUCUCUUAAUGGCACCCUUUACUACAGGUUACAUCUCUUAAUGACACCCUUUACCCAGGUUACAUCUCUUAAUGACACCCUUUACUACAGGUUACAUCUCUUAAUGACACCCUUUACCAGGUGACAUCUCAUAAUGACACCCUUUACUACAGGUUACAUCUCUUAAUGGCACCCUUUACCACAGGUUACAUCUCUUAAUGGCAUCAUUUACCCCAGGUUACAUCUCUUAAUGGCAUCAUUUACCCCAGGUUACAUCUCUUAAUGACACCCUUUACUACAGGUUACAUCUCUUAAUGGCACCCUUUACCCCAGGUUACAUCUCUUAAUCAAAUCAAAUCAAAUCAAAUAUAUUUAUAUAGCCCUUCUUACAUCAGCUGAUAUCACAAAGUGCUGUACAGAAACCCAGCCUAAAACCCCAAACAGCAAGCAAUGCAGGUGUAGAAGCACG
rnacentral:lncRNA from 1 species